GAUGAACGCUGGCGGCGUGCUUAAUACAUGCAAGUCGAACGAAGCACCUUAUUCUGAUUUCUUCGGAAUGAAAAAUUUGGUGACUGAGUGGCGGACGGGUGAGUAACGCGUGGGUAACCUGCCUCAUACAGGGGGAUAACAGUUAGAAAUGACUGCUAAUACCGCAUAAGACCACAGCACCGCAUGGUGCAGGGGUAAAAACGCCGGUGGUAUGAGAUGGACCCGCGUCUGAUUAGGUAGUUGGUGGGGUAACGGCCUACCAAGCCGACGAUCAGUAGCCGACCUGAGAGGGUGACCGGCCACAUUGGGACUGAGACACGGCCCAAACUCCUACGGGAGGCAGCAGUGGGGAAUAUUGCACAAUGGGGGAAACCCUGAUGCAGCGACGCCGCGUGAGCGAUGAAGUAUUUCGGUAUGUAAAGCUCUAUCAGCAGGGAAGAAAGUGACGGUACCUGACUAAGAAGCACCGGCUAAAUACGUGCCAGCCGCCGCAGUAACAC
rnacentral:rRNA from 1 species